AGUUACAGAGAAUUUAGCAAAGAUCAUACAGCCAGCCAGUGGCAGAACUUGAAUUCACACCUUCUUCCUUGUGUUUCAACUACCUUAAACACUUGCUGCUCAGAAUACAAGCUUCUUAUCCAAGACAGUGGACAUGAAUACCAAAUUACAGAUGGGAUGAAAAUUAGAAAUAAAGAAAAUUAAAGAAAAGAAAAUGGAAAAUAUGCCCACAGAGUUGACCACACGUACACAUAUGCCCACAUUCAUCCCAGGGUAAUAUGAGAGAACCUGGAUACUAUUUGGAUAUUUCCAGAAAUACAACUUGAGCAAAGCCAAGACAGAAUGAAAACAAAAGAAGGAGAUACCUUACUAGACUUCUUAUCAUUCAUCUGUCAAUAUAAAAGAUACAAAAACUGGAAGACAGCAAAGACCAGGAAGUCUUAGGACUGUGCUGUAGAACUACAAUGAAAUAAAUAAAUAUGAAAGCUUU